UCAUUUGGAGAGGGGGAGUCUGGUGCCAGCAGCCGCGGUAAUUCCAGCUCCAAAAGCGUAUAUUAAAGUUGUUGCAGUUAAAAAGCUCGUAGUUGAACCUUGGGCUUGGCUGGCCGGUCCAUCUUUUUUGAUGCGUACUGGACCCAGCCGAGCCUUUCCUUCUGGCUAGCCUUUUUGGCGAACCAGGACUUUUACUUUGAAAAAAUUAGAGUGUUCAAAGCAGGCCUUUGCUCGAAUAUAUUAGCAUGGAAUAAUAGAAUAGGACGUUAUGGUUCUAUUUUGUUGGUUUCUAGGACCAUCGUAAUGAUUAAUAGGGACGGUCGGGGGUAUCAGUAUUCAGUAGUCAGAGGUGAAAUUCUUGGAUUUACUGAAGACUAACUACUGCGAAAGCAUUUACCAAGGACGUUUUCAUUAAUCAAGAACGAAAGUUAGGGGAUCGAAGAUGAUCAGAUACCGUCGAGCAACCUC
rnacentral:rRNA from 1 species